rnacentral:tRNA from 1 species
UCCCAUAUGGUCUACCGGUUAGGAUUUCUGGUUUUCACCCAGAUGCCCGGGUUCGACUCCCGGUAUGGGAA